rnacentral:lncRNA from 1 species
CUAGGCUAUUCGGUAGCUGUGUGUACUCCUUCUUGGUGUCCAGUGGCUGGCUAAAGAAAUCAACAAUGUCUCUCUUCAGGUUUGCAAUCACUUCAUCUGGCACUCCAUGGUUAAUGAGCUGUAGUUUAUUCCAAAAGUAAAUGUUUCCAUUAUACUAGUUGCACAGCUCAAACUGAGCUAGAGCUACCUUACAGGACAUGAAUUUAUUCAUUUUCUGCCCACAACUUUAUUUGAUUAUCUGUAGCGUCUUUAAUCAAUUCAAACAUUUGUAUAUACAGUAUGCAUUUGCAAAUAGGUAUCUGUUGCUUUCCGAAGAUGAAAUGCCAAGAACCUAAAGUUACAUACCAGAAAGAACCCCCAAUACUGGCAGGCAGAUCUCAGCUUCACACACUCCUCUUCUGAUGAUUGCGGACAAAGCAAUUUCUUGAGAUCGAUGAUCGGAAUCGCCAUGUCACCUUGGUAGUUGUUGAUGACCUCCUCAGAACUAGCCUCUGGUCUGAUGUACCUUUCAGGUAUGUGUUCAUCUGGAUCAUUGCAAAUUUCUGCAAGCGCCUGCACAUUAGGCACUGGGAGAGAACCAACGGAUCUUGCUCCCGCCAUUGCAAUUCCCAGUUUCUGCACUAAGUGUUUUCUUUUCUUUUCCUUUUUUGGCAAGCAGUUGUUCUAGGCUGUAUACUGCAUAUAACGUGUAGAAUAUACCAUAUUUAUAGACCUUCAGAAGAACACUCACUUGAUUUUAUGGUUUACUGUUUAGGUAUCCAGGUGUUUACACUAGCUAAAUCAUGCCUUUUUUUUUUGAAGUAAAAGGUAGAGAGUCUCUACCUUAUGGCAUUAGAGGAACACAUCUAUGUCAUUAGAGGAACACAUCUAUGUCAAAAGGGAUUUUUUUUAAAGAUAAUGGAUAGAAAAACUGGUGGAUAUAGAUGGCCAACUGAAAGCAACACAUACAGUAUCAGAGACGGGGAAGGCAGAGUCUCUUAUCCUGAUAUGGCUUCAAGCUCUUCAAUUGUAGUACACUAUCUUCCAUCUUCACGUCAAAAGAGCCCUUGGAAUUUUCUCCAUCAAGUGUGACUCGCCUGCCAUCAGCGAUGACUAACCAUGGAAAAAAGCAGGGUGAUGUUCUCAAAUUCCAAUCACCUUGUCUGUCUGCUUCAACUGAUGUGAACAGCUCUACCAUUCCUCUCUCAAAGAAGAAAAGGUUGAAUCAUGCUACAUAACAAUCAUUCUCUCUUAAUUCUAAAUAAGAGAACAUGACAUCCUACGUGCAUAUUUAGUUGUUGCUGUUUUCAACCUUACCAAAUUUUGAUAUUGCCAAAGUUUGGUAAGGCAACAAACUAAACACACUUCAACCAUUACUAUCUUAUUAAAUUUUGGCAGCUCUAGAAGCUUCUUUUCUUAAAACUCUACUAGAAUUUGGUAAAGACAUCAAACUAAACAAAGCCAACGCUACCGAAAUGUAGUAAUGCCAAAGUGUGCCAAAAUUUAGCAUGGAAGAUGGUGUACCUAAUUUGUUAGUCUGAACUGAAAUUCUAUUAUCGUACAGUUAAUUCUUCUAGGCAUCAAUGUUUAUUUUUUGGAUGUUUGCAUCAUAACCUGAGUACGGGCAGUUCCUGAUAUAUGGGACAAGACUCAAAAUAUCAGGUAAAUCAUCCUCAUAACACAGGAUUAUUGGACACCUCUAGAUAUAAUAAGCAGCAAAUCUCAAGGACACAGCCUUGAAGCAGCUUCAUCUCAGUAUUUCACUACACUACUACAGGCAUCGUGGUCAUGGCUGCUAUUCCAACUUCAACAUCUCCAGUCUGUUCUUUCCAUCAAGCUGUUGUGUGAAGAAUUGUGUCAUGAAAUCAAGGUAACUAAUUGAUCUGUAAUUCACUUUACCAUCUUUCACAAAUUCCGUCAGAGGUCUGAUCACCAUAUUCUCACACGGAUAGUGGAACAGUGAUGCUGAAAUCCGCUCCUUAUUUGGGUUUAUCACGGCCCUGUGCUCAACACUUCUGAACUUUCCGUUACUUAGGAUCUGUACAUAUCAAUAGCACAUCACUCACAUCAGUACAAAGGUGCAAGAGAGGUAGGCCAUCCAACAACAAUUUUCAGAAGCUUUUAGGUACGUUCUUUCUUCUUUGGUGCUUCCACAAGUUCUUUUUUUUAGAUAAUGGAAGCUUUUAUUGAACUCAUCCAGUUACAUCAAAGUUCUUUGACAAGUGAAAGCAUAAUUAGUUCUUGGUCGGUACCUCAAGUGUGUCGCCAAUGUUAACGAUGAAUGCACCAUUCGGAGCGUCUACGGAUAACCACUUGCCAUCUUUCUUGAUCUGCAGGCCCUGCACGUCGUUAACCUGGAGCAGCAGUGUUAGGCCAACCACAUCAGAGUGCGGCGAAAUGCCCAUCACCUUGUCAGAUUGCAGGCACGGUGGGUAGUAGGUCAUCCUUAAGCCUCGAGGCUGCUCUUCAAAUAUGCCUAAAAGAGCCUCUGGCUUAGCGCCCACAGCCUUAGCCAUGAACUCAAACAAGCAGAGUGCCAGGCUUUUAGUCUCUGAUGAGUAUGCAUCAAGGGAUCGCCUAUUUCCAGACAUCUCCAGUUAAGAAGAGACAGAUGCCUAUCAAAAGCUAAAUUACACAUUUUAUUUGGGUAGAUCACCUGAAAGAUGCAGGGGAAGUCGGCCAGAACCUCAAGUCCCUUGAAUCGCUAGGAUGGACUUGAAGAUACAGCAUGUCUGCCCAGUCAAGUUUCUGGUCCUCGGAGAAAACGAGGGCCUGUCCAUAGCCUUCGAGGCUGUUGGGUAGCUGUGUGUACUCCUUCUUGGCGUCCAGUGGCUGGCUGAAGAAAUCAACAAUGUCUCUCUUGAGGUUUGCAAUCACUUCAUCUGGCACUCCAUGGUUGAUGAGCUGUAGUUUAUUCCAUAAGUAAUGCUUCAAAUAUAUUAGUUGUACAGCUCAAACUGAGCUAGAUCUACUUACAGUACAUGAAUUUAUUCAUUUUCUUCCCACAACUUAAUUUAUCAUCUGUAGUAUCCUUAAUCAAUUUAAACAUUUGUAUAUGCAGUAUGCAUUUGCAAAUAGGUAUCUGUUGCUUUCUGAAGAUGAAAUGCCAAGAACCUAAAGUUACAUACCUGAAAGAACCCCCAAUACUGGCAGGCAGAUCUCAGCUUCACACAUUCUUCUGAUGAUUGCGGAGAAAGCAACUUAUUGAGAUCGAUGAUCGGAAUCGCCUCACCAUGGUAGUUGCUGAUGACCUCCUCAGAACUAGCCUCUGGCCUGAUGUAUCUUUCAGGUAUGUGUUCAUCUGGACCAUUGCAAGUUUUUGCAAGCUCCUGCACAUUAGGCACUGGGAGAGAACCAAUGGCUCUUGCUCCCGCCAUUGAAAUUCCCAAGUUUCUGCAGCAAGUGUUUUCUUUCCUUUUUUUGGGCUAGCAGUUGUUGUAGGUUGCAUAUUGCAUGGAUAUCCACAUAUAUAGACCUUCAGAAGAACACACUUUGACUGUACGGUUUAGUGUUUAUCUUUCCAGGUGUUUACACUUUACACUAGCUAAAUUUUAGCAUAAGAGGAACACAUCUAUGUUUAAAGCGAUAUAUAUCAUAGAUGUGGAAGGCAGUGUCACCAACCACCCAAUCAACAGACAAAGAUCAAGUCUCUGAUCCUGACUGAUAUACCUGCUUCAAGCUCUCCAAUUGUACACCAUCUUCCAUCUUCUUGUGAAAAGAGCCCUUGCAAUUUUCUCAUCUAGUGUGCCUAGCCUGUCGUCAGCGACGACUAACCGUGGAUAAAAGGUGGAUGAUGCAGUAAAAGUCCCUCUUUCUCAAAUGCCGAUCAACUUGUAUGAUGUGAACAGUUAUAUCAUUCCUCUCCAGAAAAAAGAAAAGGUUGUAUCAUGCUACAGAACAAUCAUUCUAUCUUAAUUCUUAAUAAGAAGAUAUUCCCAUUUCUGGAUAGUGUCUAAAUUGGUAAUCAAACUCCAACACUAUUUCAUAAAUCGUACCCCAAAAAAAUUCCAUUCUGAAAUACCGGAUUAUGAACUAACAACAAGGCUCAGACACAUGCCCAGGUUUACCACGUAUACUCUUUGAGUUGAUUUCACAAGAUUAAUCAAGCUUCGUAUCUCUUUUGGUUAUUUAUUUUACAACUUUCAAGUGGUUAGCCUAAAGUUAAGAAAAAAAAUAUGUUUAUAUUUAGGACAUAAUACACACUUUGAACGUGACGUCAUUUUUUAGUGUGUAAUUUUUUAAAAAGGAAAUUAAGACGAGUGAUCAAAGUGAGAAAAUAAAUAGUGUCCGUACCGGUUCUUUUUCUUUUUAAUGGAGGGAGUAGUCACUUUUCCCCUGCAGGGUCUCAUAUAGAUGAGGCAAAUUUUGCUACGUGUGGUUUUAGCCUUACGACACUGCCUAAACUCACUUUUGGGGAAAACACUCCAUAAACGUGGUAAUUUGACAGUAGACACUGCACCGAUUAAAAUAAUAAUUUCUGGUUGAGGAGGAGAGAGAAAUCAUGUGAAAUGUCAAAAAUGCCCUUAGGCCCACAUGUCAUCUCUCCUAUCUCUCUUCUCUUUCUAUCCCCUCCUUCCAGCUCGUCCGCAAUGGCCUCCACCGCACCUCCCGCUUCCACGACGCCAUGCGGACCAUCCACGCCGUCGUGGCGGUGGCUGGCGAUGAAGGGGUGGCGCAGCGAGGCGAGGAUGGUGCUCGACCGGACGUCGGACACCGCCGGCCGAGGCUGAGCAGCGGCUGCAGGAGAUCGAGGACGUCGUCGCCGCCAGCUCCGUCGGCGGCAACGGCGGCGGUGCGCGGAAGGAGGUGGCGACCAAGCCCGGCAUGCAGCGGGUGCUCACCAUCGUGCUGAUGCUGCAGUUCUUCCAGCAAGCCUCCGACAUCGACUCCGUGGUACUGUACGGCCCGGGCGUGCUCGCCGCCGCCGGCGUGACGCCCAACACCCUCCUCCUGGGCCUCAACGUGGUGUUCGGCGUCGCCAAGGCGAGCUCCAUCCUCAUCGCCAUGGCGCUCACCGCCCGCGUGCGGCGCCGUCCUCUGCUUCUCGCCAGCACGGGCGGCAUGACCGCCUCUCUCCUCGUGCUCGGCUCGGUGUUCGCCGCGUUCGGCGGCGCGAGGGACGACGCGGCGGUGGCCGCCGUCGCCGUCGCUGUGGUGGUGGCGUUCGCGUGCGCGUUCUCCGUCGGGAUCGGGCCGUUGGCGUGGGUGUACAGCUCGGAGAUCCUGCCGCUGCGGCAGCGCGGGCAGGGCGCCAGCGUCGGCACCGCCAUGAACCGCGUCACGUGGUCACCAUGACGUUCGUCUCGCUCUACGGAGCCAUCACCAUGGCCGACGCAUUCUACCUCUACAUCGCCAUCGCCGUGCGUCGUUCGUGUUCAUCUACGCCUGCCUGCAGACACUAGAAGGAGGGGGACAGAGAGAAGAGAGAUAGGAGAGAUGGCACGUGGGUCCAAGGGUAUUUUUAACCUUUCACGCGAUUUCUCUCUCCUCUUCAACUGAAAAUUAUUAUUUUAUUCAGCGCGGUGUUCACUGGCAAAUUACCACGUUUAUAAAGUGUUUUCCCUCGUAAGUGAGUUUGUGCAGUGUCCUAGAGCUAAAACCACAUAUAAGCAGUAUCCUAUAGCAAAAUUUGCCCCCAGAUAAUAGUUCGGAGCGUUUUACAGUAAUUACUACUUUAUUGAAGCUGGUGUUAAGAGGCAAACUUCCAUGUCUGUUUCAUCAAACUGAACAUGUUCAACGCAGUUUACAGGCAUAAGCUAAUUAUGCAUAAAGCUUGAUGCCUGAAUACAUUAUUCUUCACGACAUAUAUUUCCUAUAUCCCAAAUUUUUUAAAAAAACAUAGUACACGAUGUAACAUUUUCUAAUUUAUGGUACUAUGAUGUAUCAUAUAUGUACUAUGUUUAUUUAUUUUAGGAUGAAGAGAGUAGAUAGCAGAUACAGUAAGUAGGACACAACCUGAAAGCAGGUUCUUCUUAUAAAAUUGUUACAUGCAUCAUGGUCGAUGGCUACGGUUCCAGCUUCAUUUUCUUUAGCCGGUUCCUUCCAUCAAGCUCUGCUGUGAAGUACUCUGUCAGCAAAUCCUGGUAGCUUAUUGUUUUGUAUUUCACUUUACCAUCUUUCACAAAGUCCGGCAGAGGGCUGAUCACCAUAUCCUGGCACGGAUAGUAGAACAGUGCCGCUGAAAUCCUCUCUCUGCUUGGAUGUACCACGGCCCUGUGCUCAACACUUCUGAACUUUCCAUUACUCAGGAUCUGCACACAUCAACAGCGCACAUCGACCGUACUUGUACAUCAGAAAAACAUGUUGAUCCAAAAGUUGAGCAUCAGCGGCUUUGAUUGUCUACUCAUUGGCUUAUCGGCCACAACCAAAAUGAUUUUGUACUGAUCAUUUGUUUUAAGCUAUUUGUUAAAUUUAUUUCUUAAAAAUAUUUUGAUUCACAAUAAAAUAAUCUGCCUAAUAUCCUAUAUCAAACGGGAUUAGUUCUUUUUUUUUAAAUAACUAGAAAAAAUGCUCGUGUGUUGCAACUGGUGGAGUCUAUUUUAAUAUUAUUAUUGUUAUAUGGUUUAGUUAAGAUGAAAUUUAUUGUGGGAGUUCGUUUGGAUAUAUAUAUAUAUAUAUAUAUAUAUAUAUAUAUAUUUAGAAAAUCAUGAGCUGCAGUUAGGAGUCCGAUCACCUCAUGUUAGCAUGCGAGUUUUUUAAACAGAUUUCUUAUAUUAUUCCUUCUGUAUUAUCAAAAGUGAACUAUCUUAAAAACCGACUCAAAUACGGAUAUGUAUUUCCAAAAGCGAACGAACUUAGAAACUGACUCAUACAUGGAUGACGCACCAAAAUACCGGGAAAAAUAUCUUCAACUUUUAUAAUAGUAUAAAGAUAAAAGCUUUAUUUAACUCAUGAAAUUACAUCGAUACGAUACAAUUGCCCCGAGAACGGGAUUAGUCAUUACCUCAAGUGUGUCGCCAAUGUUAACGAUGAGUGCACCAUUCAGAGCAUUCACGGAGAACCAUUUGCCAUCCUUGUUGAUCUGCAGGCCCUGUACAUCAUUCACCUGGAGAAGCAGUGUCAAGCCACCUGGAUCAGUGUGCGGUGACAAACCCAACACCUUGUCAGCUUUCAAGCACGG